rnacentral:rRNA from 1 species
AGCGAACGUUAGCGGCGGGCCUAACACAUGCAAGUCGAACGAGAAUGAGGGAGCAAUCCCUCUAGUAAAGUGGCGGACGGGUGCGUAACACGUGGGUGAUCUACCUUCCGGCGGGGGACAACAGUCCGAAAGGAUUGCUAAUACCGCGUACGUCGGCGAAGCCUCGGGGUUUCGUCGGGAAAGACGGCCUCUCCUUGGAAGCUGUCACCGGAAGAUGAGCCCGCGGCCCAUCAGCUAGUUGGGAGGUAC